rnacentral:rRNA from 1 species
AUAUUGGUCAAUGGGCGGAAGCCUGAACCAGCCAUGCCGCGUGAAGGAAUGAGGCCCUAUGGGUCGUAAACUUCUUUUGUGGCGGAGCAAUAAGGUCCACGCGUGGGCCGACGAGAGUACGUCACGAAUAAGCAUCGGCUAACUCCGUGCCAGCAGCCGCGGUAAUACGGAGGAUGCAAGCGUUAUCCGGAUUUAUUGGGUUUAAAGGGUGCGUAGGCUGUCCGACAAGUCAGCGGUGAAAGCCCGGCGCUUAACGCCGGAACUGCCGUUGAUACUGCCGGGCUGGAAUGCGGAUGCCGUGGGAGGAAUGAGUGGUGUAGCGGUGAAAUGCAUAGAUAUCACUCAGAACACCGAUUGCGAAGGCAUCUCACGAAUCCGCCAUUGACGCUGAGGCACGAAAGCGUGGGGAGCAAACAGGAUUAGAUACCCUGGUAGUCCACGCAGUAAACGAUGAUGACUAACCGUCGGCGAUACACAGUCGGUGGCCAAGCGAAAGCGAUAAGUCAUCCACCUGGGGAGUACGUUCGCAAGAAUGAAACUCAAAGGAAUUGACGGGGGCCCGCACAAGCGGAGGAACAUGUGGUUUAAUUCGAUGAUACGCGAGGAACCUUACCCGGGCUCGAACGGCUGGUGAACGAUGCGGAGACGCAGAGGCCCUUCGGGGCGCCAGUCGAGGUGCUGCAUGGUUGUCGUCAGCUCGUGUCGUGAGAUGUUGGCUUAAGUGCCAUAACGAGCGCAACCCUUGCCGACAGUUACCAUCAGGUUAUGCUGGGGACUCUGUCGGGACUGCCACCGCAAGGUGAGAGGAAGGCGGGGAUGACGUCAAAUCAGCACGGCCCUUACGUCCGGGGCGACACACGUGUUACAAUGGCGGCUACAGAGGGAUGCCACCCGGCGACGGGGAGCGGAUCUCGAAAGGCCGUCUCAGUUCGGAUCGGAGUCUGCAACCCGACUCCGUGAAGCUGGAUUCGCUAGUAAUCGCGCAUCAGCCAUGGCGCGGUGAAUACGUUCCCGGGCCUUGUACACACCGCCCGUCAAGCCAUGAAAGCCGGGGGUGCCUGAAGUUCGUGACCGCGAGGAGCGACCUAGGGCAAAACUGGUAAUUGGGGCUAAGUCGUAACAAGGUAGCCGUACCGGAAGGUGUGGCUG